GUGUCAGCAGCCGCGGUAAUACGGAGGGUGCAAGCGUUAUUCGGAAUUACUGGGCGUAAAGCGCGUGCAGGCGGGCGGGCAAGUCUGAUGUGAAAGCCCGGGGCUUAACCCCGGAAGUGCAUUGGAAACUGCUCGUCUUGAGUUCCGGAGAGGAAGGGGGAAUUCCCGGUGUAGAGGUGAAAUUCGUAGAGAUCGGGAGGAAUACCAGUGGCGAAGGCGCCCUUCAGGACGGCAACUGACGCUGAGACGCGAAAGCGUGGGGAGCAAACAGGAUUAGAAACCCUGGUAGUCC
rnacentral:rRNA from 1 species